UUUCUCCCUUCUUUCCUACUCUGUGUCUAAAUACUCCUUACUUUUAGGUUCUGAACUUUACCUUCCAAACCAAAUCCUGAUGUGUGCAUCUCUUUUGUGCAGGAGAAUGUAAUUCGUGAAUUUAACUUGAAUGAACUGUAUCAACGGGCUAAGAAGAUAUCAAAGACUGGAGACAGUAUCCCGGAGGAGCAGAGUGUGGCCCCAGUCCCCACCACAGUGCCAGAUGGGGAAAGCAAGAAGGAUAAAUAAGAUUCCUGCCUAGUUUUUGCUCCCUCUUCUGUCAAUUCCAGGCACCUUUGAGGCCCUACUCCAGUGUAACCAUAAGCUCUGCCUGAGGCUGCUGCCUCUUGUUUUCCCUGUUUGGCUGUUGCAGGGUAGGCAGGAUGCUGCUUCUGAUUUUAAAGAAGCAGGCAUAGAAUUGUCAGGUACCCUAGAGGAAGGCCUGCCUUGCUGUGGCCAACUGUUUACUUAAGGGAGAGAUCUCAUAUGAUGGGGGAGGAAAUGGUUUCCCUCCAAGGUUGGGUCAGUGUGUAAACUGCUGUUCUUCCUUAGACAUCAGCAGUCUGUGGUUUCCUUAUUCCUCUUAGUGGCUCUGCACAGCCUAGACUAGAUCAAACCUGUUACUUGCCUGGGUAUAGAACACUAAGAAUUUUUCCUCAAGGACCCUUGCUUUCCUUAGGCCCUUCUGGCUUGGUCUAUGGCAUUCAUUAAAAAAUACAAGCCUAAAUUUGUUACUGGUCCCAAGGAGAAACCUUUUACCACAGAGUUUUCAUCAUUGAAAAUAGUAUUGAAUGAUCCUCCUAUUUUGUAGGGAUCCAGAGGAAAAGGAAUAAAAGCUUGAGACUUUCCUUUGUGUGUUGGGACCUGGAGGAGAAAGCCUGGACUGUCCUUUUCUCCUACCUAGUCCCCACACCUAACCAACAGUUUCCAUAAUAAAAGAGACUGGGAUUUCUUUUGAUUAAUCUUUUGUGUAUUUCUCUUGUGUUAGAAAAGCUAGGCAGGGCUAGGACAGUGGAUCAGUGGGAGUUUACCUAGCAUGCUUGAGGCCCUGAGUGGGAUCCCCAGCACCACCAAAAACCAGACAGUCUUCAAAGAAAAGCUAAGUAACUGCAAAGGAAUAGCCCAUCUUUUAAUUUUUUUUUUUUUUUUUUUAAAUUAUCAGUACUGGGGAUUGAACCCCUGGGUCCAUUACCAUUCAGCUAUAUCCCCAGUCCUAUAUUUUUAUUUUGAGACAGGGUCUGAGUUGCCCAGAUUGGCCUUGAAUUUUCGAUCCUGAUCCUCCUCCUUCCACUUCCCAAGUAAUGGAUUACAGGUGAAUGCCACCAUGCUGGACAAGACCACGUAAUAUGAAAGGGCAUAUUUUGUUUCACCAAAUGCUGGGCAUCAAUUCCCAGGAUUGAUGAUGAUUGGGGAAGACCGAUUUCUGUAAUCCAAAGUGCUAACCAGAGGGGAUGCUUUGUGAACUUAAUUUUGGAUUGGUCCGUGCCUCCCAGGGAGGAAUUUGGGGAGCAUCAUAAAGCAUAGCAUUUAGUGCAGCGCAUAGGUACCUAACCUCUUGCUUCCAGACUUGAGUCCCCACCUCCUGGCAUGCCGGCCUCACCUCGUCCUUUCCACCCAUAGUCUUAAUGGUAGGGCCUGGUUCUCGCAGUACCUCCCCCUUCUGGUAGGCGGAGUGGCUGGGCUCGAAGGUCCCGCCUCCCCGCCACAUGCGCGCUGCGGGCCCCGUUUUCCACUCUCGCGGGGAGUUUUUGUUUCGUGAGCGGAAGUUCUGGGUUAAACCUGGUGAUUCGAAGUCUGACUGCCCUCCUGCCUGGUGCUAUCUCAGUCGUAGCAUCUUCACUGUAUUCUCCCUUCCGCCCCAGCAUCCCCAGUCGGCUCGGCGCGCGGCCGGAUUCCAGGCGUCAUGGCUCCUCGCUGGAGGAAGCGGAAGGCCGAGGCCGCUGCGGUCUCCACGUCGGAGAAGCGGGAGAAACUGGAGAACGGCAAGGAACAAGUAGAGGAGGCGGUCGUCAUUGAGCAUUGGUGAGCGCCCUGGGAGGCGCGGGCGGCGGCGGGAAGAAUGGCUGGCGUUGCAGCGGGGCCGCAGUCUGAUCUCCCCGUCUCUCCCUAGCACUAGCUGACGCGUCUACGGGCGCAACGCCGCGGCCCUGAGCCAGGCGCUGCGCCUGGAGGCUCCGGAGCUUCCCGUGAAAGUAAAUCCUUCCAAGCCCCGGAGGGGCAGCUUCGAGGUGACCCUGCUGCGCCAGGACGGCAGCAGUGAGUGCGGGCCGGAGCCUGGGGGGAGAGGGGCCUGGGUCUAAAGCUAAGAAGCACUAGUUUUGGAAACCGCGGCCAGCUGUUGACUUUAGAGAUGCUCUUGGAUUCCAAAGUAAUUUCGAUUUAUUCCCAGGUGCCGAGCUCUGGACCGGGAUUAAGAAGGGACCCCCACGCAAACUCAAAUUCCCCGAACCUCAAGAAGUGGUGGAAGAGUUGAAGAAGUACCUUUCGUAGGCGAUUUGGGCAGAAGUCCUCAUGCUGAGGUUUGAAAUGGAGAGGGAAUUAAUCUUGGGUAGCUUCUUGCAAAGGAGCCCAUACUGUUAUAAUUUAUUCCACACAGGAUCUAAAAGAGUGGUUUCCUACAGGGUGUGCCUUUUGCAAACCGUUUUCAUUUUCAUUUGAGUCCCUUUAUGCCAUAUUAUAGAACACUAAUGGUAACAUUAAUGAUUCUUUAUAGAAGCGUAAUUUGUAUACUUCCGGUUGAUUGUGGCCCUGGGGGUAUGAUCCAGUGUUGCUUUUGUUUGAAAAUUUAUUUCCUCAUUCCUGGUGGCUAUUUUAAUUCUUUGAACCAGUUUUAAAUCUUACUGCUUCCCAGAGUUAAAAUUUUUAACAUGUUUUUAUGUGGGUUAAUGAUUUUCCAUCUUUACUGGCACAUUACUGUACCUGCCCCUACACUUUUCUAGGGUUAUUUUGCCCCCCCCCCCCCCCAUGUCUUAUGUAUUAAACACUGCAUUACAACACUGUGCGUCUCGGUUAGGUGGAUUUUUGUCUGUCCAUAAUGUUUCAUUUAAUGCUUUGGCAUCUUGUCAGGCACUUGUAUGUUGAAUGAGUUUUGGGGGAAGGAUACAAUCCUUGAGCUCCUGGGUGGUGGUGGUGUGGGAAGGGAUGGCAUGCCUGUAAUUCCAGGGACUUUAGCAGGCCGAAGCAGGAGGAUUACAAGUUUAAGACCAGUCUCAGCAAGUCCUUAUCUCAAAAAAUAAAGGGCUGGGGAUGUUGUCAGUGGUAAAGCCUCCCAGGGUUUAAUCCCCAGUACCAAAAUUUAAUAAAGUGAUGGAGGGAGAUGUCUUCCUUAGUCUUUGGUUGCCUGGAUCUCUUCUCUAACAUUUCCCUUCUCGUUAUUGCAGCUGUCUCUGGUGGUGUUGGAGCAUUUAUGAUGGGACAUGGCUAAACUUCAGUCAUGUACCUGAAGCCAUUUCUUCCACUCCAGAAAUGAUACAGAUGAGGCAACCCUCUAGUAAGGCAUUGUAAAAAUAUUUGAAUUUGGUUUGUUUAAUAAAAGGUUAAAUAAAGUAUCUAAGAGUAAAAUUUAAUGUUG
rnacentral:lncRNA from 1 species